rnacentral:rRNA from 1 species
UACAGGGGGGGCAAGCGUUGUUCGGAAUUACUGGGCGUAAAGGGCUCGUAGGCGGCCAACUAAGUCAGACGUGAAAUCCCUCAGCUUAACUGGGGAACUGCGUCUGAUACUGGAUGGCUUGAGUUUGGGAGAGGGAUGCGGAAUUCCAGGUGUAGCGGUGAAAUGCGCAGAUAUCGGGAGGAACACCGGUGGCGAAGGCGGUUCUCUGGACCGAGACUGACGCUGAGGCGCGAAAGCGUGGGGAGCAAACAGG